rnacentral:rRNA from 1 species
UACGUAGGGCGCAAGCGUUUGUCCGGAAUUAUUGGGCGUAAAGAGCUCGUAGGCGGCCUGUCGCGUCUGUUGUGAAAGCCCGGGGCUUUAACCCCGGGUCUGCAGUGGAUACGGGCAGGCUAGAGGCAGGUAGGGGAGAACGGAAUUCCCGGUGUAGCGGUGAAAUGCGCAGAUAUCGGGAGGAACACCGGUGGCGAAGGCGGUUCUCUGGGCCUGUACUGACGCUGAGGAGCGAAAGCGUGGGGAGCGAACAGG